rnacentral:misc_RNA from 1 species
GAUGAAGAACGCAGCGAAAUGCGAUACGUAAUGUGAAUUGCAGAAUUCAGUGAAUCAUCGAGUCUUUGAACGCACAUUGCGCCCCCUGGUAUUCCGAGGGGCAUGCCUGUUCGAGCGUCAUUAUAACCCUCAAGCUCAGCUUGGUGUUGGGGCCUGCUGCACUGGCAGCCCUUAAAAUCAGUGGCGGCGCCAUCUGGCUCUAAGCGUAGUAAUUCUUCUCGCUAUGGAGUCCUGGUGGAUGCUUGCCAUCAACCCCCAAUUUUUCUAUGGUUGACCUCGGAUCAGGUAGGGAUACCCGCUGAACUUAAGCAUAUCAAUAAGCGGAGGA